rnacentral:rRNA from 1 species
GCUUUUAUUGGGCCUAAAGCGUCCGUAGCCGGUCUGAUAAGUCUCUGGUGAAAUCCCACAGCUUAACUGUGGGAAUUGCUGGAGAUACUAUCAUGACUCGAGGUCGGGAGAGGCUGGAGGUACUCCCAGGGUAGGGGUGAAAUCCUGUAAUCCUGGGAGGACCACCUGUGGCGAAGGCGUCCAGCUGGAACGAACCUGACGGUGAGGGACGAAAGCCAGGGGCGCGAACCGGAUUAGAUACCCGGGUAGUCCUGGCCGUAAACGAUGUGGACUUGGUGUUGGGAUGGCUUCGAGCUGCCCCAGUGCCGAAGGGAAGCUGUUAAGUCCACCGCCUGGGAAGUACGGCCGCAAGGCUGAAACUUAAAGGAAUUGGCGGGGG